rnacentral:rRNA from 1 species
GCCGCGGUAACGACGGGUAACGGGGAAGUCAGGGUUCGAUCGAGAGGAGCCGAGAAACGGCUACCACUCCAAGGAAGGCAGCAGGCGCGCAACUUACCCUAAUCUCGAUUCGAGGAGGUAGUGACAGAAAUACCGAUGCGGGACCCUACGGGUGCCGCGUUCGGAAUGAGUACGAUUCGAAACCACCUAACGAGGAACGAUCGAGGGCAAGUCUGGUGCCAGCAGCCGCGGUAAUUCCAGCUCCAAUAGCGUACGUUAAAAGUUGCUGCAGUUAAAAAGCUCGUAGUUGAACGUUCGGGUUCCGCGGGACGGGGCCGCCCCGCGAGGGACGGCGCCGCCCCGGGGCUCGUGAUAUCUUAUCUCGCCGCCCGUCGCGAGGCGGACGGAGGGAUGGAUGAGGUUACCUGGAAAAAAAUCGGGGGCGAUCUAGGCGGGCGAACCUCGCCAACGAACGAUCGGACAUGGGAUAACGGAAGAGGGC